ensembl:lncRNA
GUGUCUUGCUGGAGACCCAUGCAUACCUGAGGCCUUCUCAGGGAUUGCGGCUGUUCUGGCCAUUCAGUCUUUCAGCAGCUCCCGAAAGAACAGUUUGGAAAGCAUAAGAUGGCAGAAAGCAGGAGGUUGCUUGUAGCAAAGCAAAAACGUCAAACAGCAGCCGAAAGAAGAGACUGUAAGAUUUGCAGGGCUUUGUCAACAUGUUGUCUGCCUGAGAGGGGAUCUCCCUGUCCUGACCUGGUGGGACACAGCUGCAGGGCCCCUCGUGAUGCUGCCUCCUGUGGAGCCAUCCCUAUGCAGAGCCCUGAGGGCAUUGCUGGGUUGGGGCAGCCCGCCUGCUCCCUGGCCAUGUGCUGAGACAGAAUAGAGCCACACCUCAAGGGAACAGUAGGAUUAAUUAAGGCAAAAAUGUGACUUCAGUGAGUAUAGUUAAUGUGAGUCCCUGUGGGUAGCGGUUCAUGGCAAACUGGAGUUCUGGACCCAUCAUGGCAAGGCAGUGACUGCAUGUGAAUGUUGUGGAACAGACUAGUGCAGGGACGGCAUUUGUUCUACGCUGUAAGUGGCUUUUGUUUGACGUAAUGUCUUGGAGAGAACUCGGAAUAGGAGAGACCGUUGCUGUUUUUUUUUCUCAUGGUGCAGAGGGCGUGCUGUGGGUGAUAGCUGGCAGAGUGAUCUCAUAACUGAAGAAACUACAAAACUGACUGCAGCGAAGCCCAACUUUGAGAAGGGAACUACACAAACGCGAGACUUCUUUAUUUCCACGUUUCUUUAGAACAGAAAGCAUCCAGAAGAUUAAAAUGUUUUGUGUGGAAUGGUGGAAAUUCAAAUACACCCUGCCAGAGGUUGGGGUGAAAAGCCCACCCUGGGAAAAAAAAAAAAAAACCUGCCUCUUAAGACAGCUAAGCAAGGGCAAAAGAUUAAGAAAGAAAGAAACUAAACAGAAACCAAAUGUGACAACAUGAGCAUCAGAUUUAAAGAAAAGGAGAAGAUUUGAGCUUUGGCAAUUAAGCAUAAAUUCAUAACAGCAGAAGCCAAAAACAAGAAGAGGAACAAACUGCAGAAAACAUGAAGGUAAUACUAAAUACUGAAUGAAACCCAUCGGCACUAUGAAGGCUGCUGGGGGCUGAAGGGUGCUGAGUGCCUGAGCUGCAGUGUGAGCGGUUCUGCAGCACGGGUGCAGCGGAGAAGCGGCCGGCACUGCCUGCACUGUAGAGCAGCUGUGAGAGCUUCCCACGUCAGAAGCUUUUAUUUUUAGUGGGAAUAGGUAUGAAAAACUGUCUCAAAUUAAAAUGUCGGGAGAAGGUUUUAAAACAAAUCAAUAAAAACAACUCUAACAAAUUGUCAGGACAAGAUGCCAAGAGUUAAUGAACUCAAAUUCAAAAUAGCCAAAUUACUGUAUUGUGUAACCUGUAGCUUAAAUUGGCCCAGCGCUGAAGGAAUUGAUUGUGAUUACAGUUCUUU